CCUACGGGUGGCAGCAGUGAGGAAUAUUGGUCAAUGGACGAAAGUCUGAACCAGCCAAGUCGCGUGAAGGAUGACUGACCUAUGGGUUGUAAACUUCUUUUAUAGGGGAAUAAAACGAUUCACGUGUGCCUUUUUGCAUGUACUUUAUGAAUAAGGAUCGGCUAACUCCGUGCCAGCAGCCGCGGUAAUACGGAGGAUCCGAGCGUUAUCCGGAUUUAUUGGGUUUAACGGGAGCGUAGGUGGGUUGUUAAGUCAGUUGUGAAAGUUUGUGGCUCAACCGUAAAAUUGCAAUUGAUACUGGAAGUCUUGAGUACAGUUGAGGUAGGCGGAAUGCGUGGUGUAGCAGUGAAAUGCGUAGAUAUCACGAAGAACUCCGAUUGCGAAGGCAGCUUACUAAACUGUGACUGACACUGAUGCUCGAAAGCGUGGGGAUCAAACAGGAUUAGAUACCCGGGUAGUC
rnacentral:rRNA from 1 species